rnacentral:rRNA from 1 species
CUAAGGGUGGCUGCAGUGGGGAAUAUUGGACAAUGGGCGAAAGCCUGAUCCAGCCAUGCCGCGUGUGUGAAGAAGGCCUUCGGGUUGUAAAGCACUUUCAGUGGGGAAGAAAGCCUUGGGGCUAAUACCCUCGAGGAAGGACAUCACCCACAGAAGAAGCACCGGCUAACUCCGUGCCAGCAGCCGCGGUAAUACGGAGGGUGCGAGCGUUAAUCGGAAUUACUGGGCGUAAAGCGCGCGUAGGCGGUCUGAUAAGCCGGUUGUGAAAGCCCCGGGCUCAACCUGGGAACGGCAUCCGGAACUGUCAGGCUAGAGUGCAGGAGAGGAAGGUAGAAUUCCCGGUGUAGCGGUGAAAUGCGUAGAGAUCGGGAGGAAUACCAGUGGCGAAGGCGGCCUUCUGGACUGACACUGACGCUGAGGUGCGAAAGCGUGGGUAGCAAACAGGAUUAGAUACCCUAGUAGUC